GCAACGAGCGCAACCCCUAUCUUUAGUUGCCAUCAGGUUGGGCUGGGCACUCUAGAGAGACUGCCGGUGACAAGCCGGAGGAAGGUGGGGAUGACGUCAAGUCCUCAUGGCCCUUAUGUCCUGGGCUACACACGUGCUACAAUGGCGGUGACAGUGGGAAGCUAGGUGGUGACACCAUGCUGAUCUCUAAAAGCCGUCUCAGUUCGGAUUGCACUCUGCAACUCGAGUGCAUGAAGGUGGAAUCGCUAGUAAUCGCGGAUCAGCAUGCCGCGGUGAAUACGUUCCCGGGUCUUGUACACAC
rnacentral:rRNA from 1 species